AGAGUUUGAUCCUGGCUCAGAAGCGAACGCUGGCGGCAGGCUUAACACAUGCAAGUCGAGCGGGUGUAGCAAUACAUCAGCGGCAGACGGGUGAGUAACGCGUGGGAACGUACCUUUUGGUUCGGAACAACCCAGGGAAACUUGGGCUAAUACCGGAUAAGCCCUUACGGGGAAAGAUUUAUCGCCGAAAGAUCGGCCCGCGUCUGAUUAGCUAGUUGGUGAGGUAAUGGCUCACCAAGGCGACGAUCAGUAGCUGGUCUGAGAGGAUGAUCAGCCACAUUGGGACUGAGACACGGCCCAAACUCCUACGGGAGGCAGCAGUGGGGAAUAUUGGACAAUGGGGGCAACCCUGAUCCAGCCAUGCCGCGUGAGUGAUGAAGGCCCUAGGGUUGUAAAGCUCUUUUGUGCGGGAAGAUAAUGACGGUACCGCAAGAAUAAGCCCCGGCUAACUUCGUGCCAGCAGCCGCGGUAAUACGAAGGGGGCUAGCGUUGCUCGGAAUCACUGGGCGUAAAGGGUGCGUAGGCGGGUCUUUAAGUCAGGGGUGAAAUCCUGGAGCUCAACUCCAGAACUGCCUUUGAUACUGAAGAUCUUGAGUCCGGGAGAGGUGAGUGGAACUGCGAGUGUAGAGGUGAAAUUCGUAGAUAUUCGCAAGAACACCAGUGGCGAAGGCGGCUCACUGGCCCGGUACUGACGCUGAGGCACGAAAGCGUGGGGAGCAAACAGGAUUAGAUACCCCCGUAGUCC
rnacentral:rRNA from 1 species